GAUGAGGCUCUGGGUCAACCUCCCACCCGUGUCUAUUGUACCUUGUUGCUUCGGCGGGCCCGCCGUUUCGACGGCCGCCGGGGAGGCCUCGCGCCCCCGGGCCCGCGCCCGCCGAAGACCCCAACAUGAACGCUGUUCUGAAAGUAUGCAGUCUGAGUUGAUUAUCAUAAUCAGUUAAAACUUUCAACAACGGAUCUCUUGGUUCCGGCAUCGAUGAAGAACGCAGCGAAAUGCGAUAAGUAAUGUGAAUUGCAGAAUUCAGUGAAUCAUCGAGUCUUUGAACGCACAUUGCGCCCCCUGGUAUUCCGGGGGGCAUGCCUGUCCGAGCGUCAUUGCUGCCCUCAAGCACGGCUUGUGUGUUGGGCCGCCGUCCCCGGUUCUCCCCCGGGGACGGGCCCGAAAGGCAGCGGCGGCACCGCGUCCGGUCCUCGAGCGUAUGGGGCUUCGUCACCCGCUCUGUAAGCCCGGCCGGCGCCAACGACCACCACAAAUUUAUUCUAGUGACUCGGAUCAUGG
rnacentral:sRNA from 1 species